GACAGAGGUGCCGAGCGUUAGGCGGAAUCACUGGGCUUAAAGCGUUUGUAGGCGGACCGUUAAGUACCUUGUGAAAUCCCACGGCUCAACCGUGGAACGGCUGGGUAUACUGGCGGUCUUGGGCCACCUAGGGGUCAUCGGAACAGGCGGUGGAGCGGUGAAAUGCGUAGAUAUCGCUUGGAACGCCGAAGGUGAAAAACAGGUCGCUGGGGAUGUGCCGACGCUGAGACACGAAAGCCAGGGGAGCAAACGGG
rnacentral:rRNA from 1 species